UACUCCUACGGGAGGCAGCAGUGGGGAAUAUUGCACAAUGGGGGAAACCCUGAUGCAGCCAUGCCGCGUGUGUGAAGAAGGCCUUCGGGUUGUAAAGCACUUUCAGUAGGGAGGAAGGUAGUGUAGUUAACACCUGCAUUAUUUGACGUUACCUACAGAAGAAGCACCGGCUAACUUCGUGCCAGCAGCCGCGGUAAU
rnacentral:rRNA from 1 species